CGCCUUCAAAACCCCUUUCUCUGCAAUCGCGAUUCUCUCCUUCCUGCGCUCUCCUACUGCCUCCAAAGGUAUGGUUUUUCCCUCUUUGAUGAUUCUCUUUACUGUAUGAACCGCCUGGGACUGUCUAUAUUACCGCAUUUCUCUGGAUGUCGCUUGUAUGCUUCAUUAUUCCUCUUGUUUCCCUUCGUUCUUUUGCGGGUAGGGCGCUCCUAGGGUUCUUCCAUUUUCCCCUUUUCUUCUCUCCAAAC
rnacentral:lncRNA from 1 species